GAUGAACGCUGGCGGCAUGCCUAACACAUGCAAGUCGGACGGGCAGUGGUGUUUCUUGUGGCGGACGGGUGAGUAACGCGUAAGAACCUGACAUUGGGAGGGGCACAAUAGCUGGAAACGGCUGCUAAUACACCGUAGGCUGAGGAGCAAAAGGAGGAAUCCGCCUGAGGAGGGGCUCGCGUCUGAUUAGCUAGCUGGUGAGGCAAUAGCUUACCAAGGCGAUGAUCAGUAGCUGGUCCGAGAGGAUGAUCAGCCACACUGGGACUGAGACACGGCCCAGACUACUACGGGAGGCAGCAGUGGGCAAGUCGCCGCAAUGGGCGAAAGCCUGACAGGGCAAUGCCGCGUGAAGGUAGAAUGCCUACGGGUCGUGAACUUCUUUUCCCGGAGAAGAAGCAAUGACGGUAUCUAGUGAAUAAGCAACGGCUAACUCUGUG
rnacentral:rRNA from 1 species